AAAAAUGUCUUGUUUUUUCUUUAAAAACAAAUGUUCUGCUCAUUUUCCUACAACACAAUCAAGAUAAUAUUCAGCCUGGAAAGACGGGAAUUCGCAGAGACACGGACUGGUACGGGUUCUGGCCUCGCCCCAGAGCCCGCGUGUAGGGCGGUGGGCUGGACAGAAGGGGCCACGAGGCUGUACGUGGCGCCAGCCCUCAGCACGGCCCUCUGCGCCAUGUCCCUGUCCCCCACAGCCCCUGGGAGAGGACGAGCACCAUAGCGGUGGCUACUAUUGCCACUUUGCAGCUGAGAGGAGAGUCUAGUGGGGGCAAGAGACAAGCGGACUGACCAUGGCCACCAGGGUCUUGGAGGAGGGAAAGGCUGCACCAGAUCCUACAGAAUGAACAGCUGACCCGGUGACAGUGGCAGAUUCCCACGGCUGCACAUCUGCCCCGGCGCUCCCACCGUUGAGAGGGGGCUCCGGUCACCCCUCCCGUCCCUCCGGGUGGGCCACAUGACUGCCUGGGCCAGUGGAGGACGGCAGGGGUGAUGCUGGGACAGUUCCAGGGGUGGCCCUUGUCUGGCGUGGCAGCUGCAGCCUCGGCCCCUCCGAGUCUUGAGCAGCAAGACAUCCUUCUCAUCCUGGAGAACCAGGAUGAGGCCACCCUGUGGGCACCCACUGGGCACCGCCCUGUGGAACCUUCAGGUGACCCCA